rnacentral:misc_RNA from 1 species
GGAAGGAUCAUUGAAUCUAUCAAUACCAACACCGUGAACCACUAUUGUUCGGUCCGCUGGAACUGGCUUAACUGCCGGAUCUGGUGCAGACUGGCUGGCGUAACAACCAGUCGGUCUGGACUCGCACUAUUCGUGCGGGUUGGCCCCCCAUACCAACACCAACACCAAACCAAACCUUAUCGAUUGAAAACCAUAUGUAUCUGGCCUAGCCAGUGCAUCCAAACAGAGAUAACUCUCAACAACGGAUAUCUUGGCUCUCGCAACGAUGAAGAACGCAGCGAAAUGCGAUACGUAGUGUGAAUUGCAGAAUUCCGUGAACCAUCGAAUCUUUGAACGCACAUUGCGCCUUAGGCUUCGGCCAAGGGCAUGUCUGCCUCAGCAUCGGGUUUAUAUCGCUCCCCUUCACCCAUUCGGGUAAAGAGAGGCGGAUCUGGCUGUUCCAGCUAUGCAGUCCGAAUCAUUCGUGAUUCGGGCAUCUAUGCACCUGGAUCAGCUGAAGACCAGAGGCUAACCAAGGACCCGAUAAGGGCCGCAACUGGGUGGGCUGUCAAAGGCUAUAUUCUUAGUUGUUGGUCUGGGACUUUGUGUUCGGCCCUCAAACAGGAACCUAUAAACCAUAAUCUCGAUCUGAGCUCAGGCAAGAACACCCGCUGAACUUAAGCAUAUCAAUAAGCGGAGGAAAAGAAACUAACAAGGAUUCCCUUAGUAACGGCGAGUGAAACGGGAAUAGCCCAACUUGAAAAUCUCCCUUUGGAGAAUUGUAGUCUAUAGAAGCGUCCUCUGUGGCGGCCUGAGCCCAAGUCCACUGGAAAGUGGCGUCAGAGAGGGUGAGAACCCCGUCGGCUCUCGGCUUAGCUACUCCACGAGGUGCUUUCCACGAGUCGGGUUGUUUGGGAAUGCAGCCCAAAAUUGGAGGUAAAUCCCUUCUAAGGCUAAAUACUGGCGAGAGACCGAUAGCGAACAAGUACCGUGAGGGAAAGAUGAAAAGAACUUUGAAAAGAGAGUUAAAAAGUGCUUGAAAUUGUUGAGAGGGAAGCGAUUGGAGGGUGUGAGUGCGUCUAGGCUUAUGCGUCUCUAACGAGGCGCUGCAUGUGCUAGAUGCUGGUCAGCAUGGGUUAGUCGGGCGGGAUAACAGCAUGGGUUGAUACCGUGUCUAUGCCGUCUGACUGAUCAAGGUGUGAAUGGCGCUUAGUCCUUCGGGAACUGCGUCAUCAAGAUGCUGGCAGAAGCCCUUCAAUCGGCCCGUCUUGAAACACGGACCAAGGAGUCUAACAUGUAUGCGAGUUGGUGGGUGGAAAACCCAUGAAGCGCAAGUAACCUGACUGGUGGGAUGGCCUGUGCCUGCACCAUCGACCGACCAUGAUCUUCUGUGAAAGGUUUGAGUGCGAGCAUACCUGUUGGGACCCGAAAGAUGGUGAACUAUGCCUGAGCAGGGUGAAGCCAGAGGAAACUCUGGUGGAGGCUCGUAGAUGUGCUGACGUGCAAAUCGCUUUUCGGACUUGGGUAUAGGGGCGAAAGACUAAUCGAACCAUCUAGUAGCUGGUUCCCUC